rnacentral:rRNA from 1 species
UACGUAGGCGGCAAGCGUUGUCCGGAAUUAUUGGGCGUAAAGGGAGCGCAGGUGGGACGGUAAGUCUGUCUUAAAAGGCAAGGGCUCAGCCCCUGUAAGGGACAGAAACUAUCGUUCUUGAGUGCCGGAGAGGAAAGCGGAAUUCCCAGUGUAGCGGUGAAAUGCGUAGAUAUUGGGAAGAACACCAGUGGCGAAGGCGGCUUUCUGGACGGCAACUGACACUGAGGCUCGAAAGCCAGGGGAGCGAACGGG